UACGAAGGGGCUAGCGUUGUUCGGAAUCACUGGGCGUAAAGCGCACGCAGGCGGAUUGAUAAGUCAGGGGUGAAAUCCCGGAGCUCAACUUCGGAAUUGCCUUUGAUACUGUCUGUCUUGAGUCCGGGAGAGGUGAGUGGAAUUCCUAGUGUAGAGGUGAAAUGCGCAGAUAUCAGGAGGAACACCAGUGGCGAAGGCGGCACUCUGGGCCGGUACUGACGUGAGGAGCGAAAGCGUGGGGAGCGAACAGG
rnacentral:rRNA from 1 species